UUUGCGGUAGUCUUCACCAAGUUUGUCGUUAGCUCAAGUGGUAAAGGCGCUGCGUACCGAAAGUGAAACGCAGUCGGGGUCGGGAUCGAUGCCGAACAUUUAUUAUCUGAUUUAGCUCUUUUUCUCAAUUUUUUGUAAUUUUUUUCUUCCUUCCUUUUUUAACUCUUAAAAGUUAGGCCGGCUAGUGUUUGGGACCGGUAUAAAAUCUAAAGUGCUUUAAAAAAGUUUUAAUCUUUUUUUAUUUGGUUGAAAAUGUUUGAAUAUUGAGUUGCGAA
rnacentral:lncRNA from 1 species